UACGGAGGUCCCAAGCGUUGUUCGGAUUCACUGGGCGUAAAGGGUGCGUAGGUGGUCAGUUAAGUCUGAUGUGAAAGCUCUGGGCUCAACCCAGAAAUGGCAUUGGAUACUAUCUGGCUAGAGGAAUGGAGGGGGGACUGGAAUACUUGGUGUAGCAGUGAAAUGCGUAGAUAUCAAGUGGAACACCAGUGGCGAAGGCGAGUCCCUGGACAUUUCCUGACACUGAGGCACGAAAGCUAGGGGAGCAAACAGG
rnacentral:rRNA from 1 species